rnacentral:rRNA from 1 species
GUGAGGAAUAUUGGUCAAUGGACGAGAGUCUGAACCAGCCAAGUCGCGUGAAGGAAGACGGUUCUAUGAAUUGUAAACUUCUUUUGUGCAGGAAUAAAGUGGGUUACGUGUAACCUUUUGUAUGUACUGUACGAAUAAGGAUCGGCUAACUCCGUGCCAGCAGCCGCGGUAAUACGGAGGAUCCGAGCGUUAUCCGGAUUUAUUGGGUUUAACGGGUGCGUAGGUGGAUUGAUAAGUCAGCGGUGAAAGUUUGCAGCUUAAAUGUAAGAUUGCCGUUGAAACUGUCGGUCUUGAGUGCAAAUGAGGUAGGCGGAAUGUGUUGUGUAGCGGUGAAAUGCUUAGAUAUAACACAGAACUCCGAUUGCGAAAGCAGCUUACUGGGAUGCAACUGACACUGAUGCACGAAAGCGUGGGUAUCAAACAGGAUUAGAAACCCCGGUAGUCC